rnacentral:rRNA from 1 species
AGUGAACGCUGGCGGUAGGCCUAACACAUGCAAGUCGAACGGACGCCCAGUAAGUGCUUGCUCUUACGGGUGGCGAGUGGCGGACGGGUGAGGAAUACAUCGGUAUCUUCUCUUUCGUGGGGGAUUACGAAGGGAAACUUACGCUAAUACCGCAUACGAACUAAGGGUGACAGCAGGGGAUCUUCGGACCUUGCGCGAUCGAAUGCGACGAUGUCGGAUUAGCUGGUUGGCGGGGUAAAGGCCCACCAAGGCGACGCUCCGUAGCUGGUCAGAGAGGAUGAUCGGCCACACUGGAACGGAGAAACGGUCCAGACUCCAACGGAGGGCAGCAGUGGGGAAUAUUGGACAAGGAGCGCAGGCCGGAGCCAGCCAUACCGGGGAGGUAAAGAAGGCCUUCGGGUUGUAAAGCCCUUUUGUUGGGAAAAAAAAGCAGCAGGUUAAUACCCCGCUGUGCCGACGGUACCAAAAGAAUAAGCACCGGCAAACUUCGG